rnacentral:rRNA from 1 species
GGACUACACGGGUUUCUAAUCCUGUUUGAUCCCCACGCUUUCGCGCCUCAGCGUCAGUUGUCGUCCAGAUAGCCGCCUUCGCCACCGGUGUUCCUGCUAAUAUCUACGAAUUUCACCUCUACAUUAGCAAUUCCGCUAUCCCCUCCGACACUCCAGCCUUGCAGUUUCAAAGGCAGUUCCACGGUUGAGCCGUGGGAUUUCACCCCUGACUUGCAAAGCCGCCUACGCGCGCUUUACGCCCAGUGAUUCCGAACAACGCUAGCACCCUUCGUAUUACCGCGGCGGCUGGCAC